rnacentral:rRNA from 1 species
GACAGAGGGUGCAAACGUUGUUCGGAAUUACUGGGCGUAAAGGGCCAGUAGGCGGCCAACUAAGUCGGAUGUGAAAUCCCCAGGCUUAACCUGGGAACUGCAUCCGAUACUGGAUGGCUUGAAUUCGGGAGAGGGAUGCAGAAUUCCAGGUGUAGCGGUGAAAUGCGUAGGUAUCUGGAGGAACACCGGUGGCGAAGGCGGCAUCCUGGACCGGCACUGACGCUGAGGAGCGAAAGCCAGGGGAGCAAACGGG